CUUUCUUAAGGUACAGACUAAACUCUCUCUUCUUCUUCAUGCAUGGUAGGUGGCUGCUCCUGCCAGCUCCUGGCUGCUCCUGGCUGCUCCUGGCAGCUCCUGACUGCUCCUGGCUGCUCCUGGCAGCUCCUGGCAGCUCCUGGCUGCUCCUGACUGCUCCUGGCUGCUCCUGACUGCUCCUGACUGCUCCUGGCAGCUCCUGGCUGCUCCUGACUGCCCCUGACUGCCCCUGGCUGCUCCUGGCUGCUCCUGACUGCUCCUGGCUACUCCUGGCUACUUCUGUCUGCUCUUGGCUGCUCCUGUCUGCUCCUACUGUAGCUUCCAGUACACCAAUGAGACUGCUGCAUGUCCCUUCACCUGAGGGGAUCGCUACAUAUCUCAUUACCUGUAUCAUAGCCCUGAGAAAUACCUCUGGAACUAAAGCAGUCCCCAGACUAGUUGUCAAGAUCAUAGGCAGCAAACAGGUCAAGUAUUUCAUCACAGAAGAGACAGACAAGUGAGUUGAAUCAGGUCGAUCAAAGAUCAAGCUGUGUUCUAAGAAUAGAAAAUAAUGGAAUGGCAUAAAAUAGAAUAGAAUGGAAUGGAAUAGAAUAACAUACAAUAGAAUGGAAUAGAAAAACAUAGAAUACUAUACAAUAGAAUGGAAUAGAAAAACAUAGAAUACUAUACAAUAGAAUGAGUACUUUACUUUUCAUUCAAGUAAAGUAGCAGUAAAGUCUCAAUGGUAAUUCUGCUUCAAAAAACUACAUCUUACACUUGCUUAUUACUGUGACUUAACUGGAUCUCGAUGCAUAUCUCUUUAACUUUGCACAAGGGUGAAUGGAGCAGCUAUUCCUCUGGCGGUUGUGGGUAAUGUGAUGAAGGAACCACCAGACAAACAGGACUCUAUAGUGGCCAGAUCACACAGACAAGCUGAGGCUGAGGGGGGUGUGGGGUCAGCUUUUCAGGCUACGCUCCACAAGGUAAACCCUGAACCGUAAUAUAGUCGUUAUACUUAUGUUAUUAAGUUAUGUUAUUAUUAUUAUUUAUUAUCAUGUAGCUUAGAAAAAUAUAUAAUUGUACAUUAUUUAAAAAAUGGUAUCUACCCUCUUUUAUAUGUUGAAUAAAAAAAGAAAAUAUAACAAUAAUACAUAGUGAAAAGAUGACAUUGCAUGAGUAGUAUAUUUCAAGAUAGAUAGACAAAGGUGACAUAAACCCUAUGGUUACGGGAUUUCGUUGAUGUAUACGGUACAUUGUUCCCAGUGAGCUGUAUCUUUCUAGUGGAGAGCUCAAAACACUGAGUGUUGGGUUCACUUGACAGGCCCCAAACAGACUGUGUGUGACAGCUCCCUCUGGUGACCGUUCCCUGUCCUACAUCCAUCAGAAGAACCCAGCUGUCAUAAGAACUGAACUCAGAGUAGGAACAGCAGCAAGGGCAUCUGAGGAGGAGAAGGUUAAUUCAAACUACGGCCUAACUGUGAUCACUUGAUUUAAUUUUUAUUUUACUCAAACAAAACCGUGGUCUGCACAGUGAUCACCACUUUCAUACAUAAAACAGAUGAUGCCCACGCUUCAUGAAGUUGUAUGGCAUUGUUUAUUUCUACUGAUUAUCACGUCCUACUGGUGUGGAGCUCAACAAAGGCUUAUUCUGAUUCCCCACCAUAGAAAUAGAAUCAUUCUAUAUAAAUAUAUUUAUAUGUAGCCCACUAGUGGUUAGAGCGUUGGGCCAGUAACCAAAAGCUUGCUGGAUCGAA
rnacentral:lncRNA from 8 species